GAUGAACGCUGGCGGCGUGCCUAAUACAUGCAAGUCGAGCGAACGGACGAGAAGCUUGCUUUUCUGAUGUUAGCGGCGGACGGGUGAGUAACACGUGGAUAACCUGCCUAUAAGACUGGGAUAACUUCGGGAAACCGGAGCUAAUACCGGAUAAUAUUUUGAACCGCAUGGUUCAAAAGUGAAAGACGGUCUUGCUGUCACUUAUAGAUGGAUCCGCGCUGCAUUGGCUAGUUGGUAAGGUAACGGCUUACCAAGGCAACGAUGCAUAGCCGACCUGAGAGGGUGAUCGGCCACACUGGAACUGAGACACGGUCCAGACUCCUACGGGAGGCAGCAGUAGGGAAUCUUCCGCAAUGGGCGAAAGCCUGACGGAGCAACGCCGCGUGAGUGAUGAAGGUCUUCGGAUCGUAAAACUCUGUUAUUAGGGAAGAACAUAUGUGUAAGUAACUGUGCACAUCUUGACGGUACCUAAUCAGAAAGCCACGGCUAACUACGUG
rnacentral:rRNA from 1 species